rnacentral:tRNA from 2 species
GCCUGGGUGGCGAAAUCCGGUAGACGCACCGCCUCGAGAGGGCGGCGGGCAACACCCAUGAGGGUUCGACUCCCUCCUCAGGCACCA